rnacentral:rRNA from 1 species
AUUGAACGCUAGCGGGAGGCCUGACACAUGCAAGUCGAACGAGUGGCGGACGGGUGAGUAAUGUAUGGGAAACUGCCUGAUGGAGGGGGAUAACUACUCGAAACGGUAGCUAAUACCGCAUACCAUCAGAUGUGCCGAGAUUGGAUUAGCUUGUUGGUGGGGUACCGGCUCACCAAGGCGACGAUCCGUAGCGGGUUUGAGAGGAUGACCAGCCACACUGGAACUGAGACACGGUCCAGACUCCUACGGGAGGCAGCAGUGGGGAAUUUUGGACAAUGGGCGAAACCCUGAUGCAGCCAUCCCGCGUGUAUGAUGAAGGCCUUCGGGUUGUAAAGUACUUUCGGCGGGGAGGCGUUACCCGCAGAAGAAGCACCGGCUAACUCCGUGCCAGCAGCCGCGGUAAUAC